UACGGAGGGUGCGAGCGUUGUCCGGAAUCACUGGGCGUAAAGGGCGCGUAGGCGGCCUGAUAAGUAGGGGGUGAAAUCCUGCGGCUUAACCGCAGGGCUGCCUUCUAAACUGUCGGGCUAGAGCACGGUAGAGGCAGAUGGAAUUCCCGGUGUAGCGGUGGAAUGCGUAGAGAUCGGGAAGAACAUCAGUGGCGAAGGCGGGUCUCUGG
rnacentral:rRNA from 1 species